rnacentral:rRNA from 1 species
GAUGAACGCUGGCGGCGUGCCUAAUACAUGCAAGUCGAGCGAACGGACGAGAAGCUUGCUUCUCUGAUGUUAGCGGCGGACGGGUGAGUAACACGUGGAUAACCUACCUAUAAGACUGGGAUAACUUCGGGAAACCGGAGCUAAUACCGGAUAAUAUUUUGAACCGCAUGGUUCAAAAGUGAAAGACGGUCUUGCUGUCACUUAUAGAUGGAUCCGCGCUGCAUUAGCUAGUUGGUAAGGUAACGGCUUACCAAGGCAACGAUGCAUAGCCGACCUGAGAGGGUGAUCGGCCACACUGGAACUGAGACACGGUCCAGACUCCUACGGGAGGCAGCAGUAGGGAAUCUUCCGCAAUGGGCGAAAGCCUGACGGAGCAACGCCGCGUGAGUGAUGAAGGUCUUCGGAUCGUAAACUCUGUUAUUAGGGAAGAACAUAUGUGCAAGUAACUGUGCACAUCUUGACGGUACCUAAUCAGAAAGCCACGGCUAACUACGUG